rnacentral:rRNA from 1 species
AUUGAACGCUGGCGGCAGGCCUAACACAUUCAAGUCGAACGAGUGGCGGACGGGUGAUUAAUGUAUGGGGAACUGCCCGAUGGAGGGGGAUCACUACUGGAAACGGUAGCUAAUACCGCAUACCAUCGGAUGUGCCCAGAUGGGAUUAGCUAGUAGGUGGGGUAACGGGUCACCUAGGCGACGCUCCCUAGCUGGUCUGAGAGGAUGACCAGCCAGACUGGAACUGAGACACGGUCCAGACUCCUACGGGAGGCAGCAGUGGGGAAUAUUGCACAAUGGGCGCAAGCCUGAUGCAGCCAUGCCGCGUGUAUGAAGAAGGCCUUAGGGUUGUAAAGUACUUUCAGCGAGUAGGCGUUACUCGCAGAAGAAGCACCGGCUAACUCCGUGCCAGCAGCCGCGGUAAUAC